GUGCUGACCGCCAACGGCACGCGCCUCUCUGCGGAACUGUAGCGUGUUACCCAGCCAAGGCAAGAAGCGAGGACCUAAAAGCAAACCUUGUGCUCUCCUAGAGAUAAAGAUGGCAACUAUACUUAUAUUUAGAGGCUUGCGUUAUGUUUUAUACAGAAAAUAGAGGCCCUUAAGCAAUAGUUUAACAAAAGAUUAUUUAUUUAAUCUAAUCGCUCAAACUAUUUGGCACUAACGAAAGUUUGGCAAUCUGGUUUAAUAGCAAAAUCGACAACCAAAUCUCAAUCUUUAUGGUGUGGCUCAUAACGUAUCAAACAUGGAACUAUUAAUAUAUAUUUAAUUUGUCGUUUUUAAAAUAUAUAAGUAUAUAUUAAUUUAGUAUAAUUACUGCACCCACUUAAUAUACAUGUAAAUAAUCAAUCCAAAUAUAAUUAAGUCUCGUUUAA